rnacentral:rRNA from 1 species
GAUGAACGCUAGCGGCAGGCCUAAUACAUGCAAGUCGGACGGGAUUUGGGAGCUUGCUCCUAAUGAGAGUGGCGCACGGGUGCGUAACACGUAUGUAACCUACCUUAAUCAGGGGGAUAGCCUCUCGAAAGAGAGAUUAACACCGCAUAACAUAUUUUUAUGGCAUCGUAGAAAUAUCAAAUAUUUAUAGGAUUAAGAUGGGCAUGCGGAACAUUAGCUAGUUGGUAAGGUAACGGCUUACCAAGGCUACGAUGCUUAGGGGAACUGAGAGGAUGACCCCCCACACUGGGACUGAACCACGGCCCAGACUCCUACGGGAGGCAGCAGUAAGGAAUAUUGGCCAAUGGGCGCAAGCCUGAACCAGCCAUGCCGCGUGCAGGAAGACGGCCCUAUGGGUUGUAAACUGCUUUUGUACCGGAAUAAACCCUUUUACGUGUAAAAGGCUGAAUGUACGGUAAGAAUAAGGAUCGGCUAACUCCGUGCCAGCCGCCGCCGUAA